UGCCCCACCGGAGCUCCUCUGGAGAGCCCGAUGUAGUGCUUCCCUCCCCUGGGAGUCCCUUUCGCUUUCCCUCUACUUCCUACCCGACAACCCCAAAGCUGGAAAAAUAGUCUUACCCUAGAAUUUAUCUUCUCUUCAAUUUUUCAAGAUGCAAGUCCCAUGUAGCAGAAGACAAACUCGUUCUAGUGAGCCGUCGCCGGCACCACCACCCUCUGUCAUUUACCUAAUUUACAAGCACUGUCGCGGUGACCUUUACCCUUAUUCAAUGUAUGCUUUGAAGAUUGUUGAUACUGAGAAUGGGGAUACCAAGCUGCUACCUGAACCCAUCUUCCGGUUGAACAAAAAUAGUUUUUCCGUUGCCCCGGGGUUUUGUAGAAAUGGAUUAAAAAAUUUUUGUAGUUGGGGGGAAUGUCGGCGUUUGGACCGAGCGAAGACAAGUACGUGUUGCAUACAUACGUGUUUGAUUCUACAAAGCCUCUUCCUCCGCCUGCCACAGUUGAUGAUCCGAAGAAGUGUUUUUUAUCAAGGGUCCCCGGUUGAAUGCUCCCAAGGUUGAUCCUAUUUUAAUCACGUUUGAGGGAAGAAUUUACGCAUUUCCACGUUGGUUCAGCCAGCGCAGUCCUACUACUCCUAAAUGUGAGGUACUUGACUUGGAAACCUGGUCAUUGAGUGGAGGUAUGUUCCGCAAUUGGCUGGCGUUAGCAAAUUACCUUUUAGUGGCAUCACUAUUUGUAUAGGUGAGAAACAUUUUGCAGUUGUCAGUGAUACAUUAUGCAAAUAUGAUUUUGCUCUAGAAAAGGGAUUGGCUGAGGGGAAAGGUUUGGUUGAUCUAGAUGAUGAGAAUUUAGUAGCUCAUGUGGAUUAUGGUGUGGUCUAUCCAGGAGAUAAAAAGCUAUGUGUUGUUAGAUGUGGCCUGGAUAGACCAUUAGAUCAUUUUAAUGAUGAUGAAUGUCGUAAUUUCAUAAGUUGCGAUAUAUAUAAAGCUAGAGGACAUCGACAGAAGAAGACCAAUCUAUCCGGACUUGUUCACCUGGCUUCUUCCACAUGCUCUAUGGAUGACAAUCCUGGUUUUUAUGGACUGCUCAAGGCCUGCUUUCCUAUGAGGAAUGAGGCUGAGUAGAGUGACAUCUCAUGGGACUUGUGAUUUGAUAUUUGCUUCAGGAGGAUAGUUGAUCUUGGUGGUUUUGUGGACAUUGGUUAUUCGAUGCUCUCUCUGGAUGUGAGACCUGUUGAUUUGAAUUGCCUUGACAAGAUUUUUGUCUAGAACAACAUGUAUAGGCAAUUAACUACCACUAAAGAAAUAUUAGUAUGUAUAACCCCAAUCAACUGCCACUAGAGAAAUAUUAGUAUUGUAAUGGAUGGUUUUGAUUCCUUUUG